rnacentral:lncRNA from 1 species
AGGCCCGGGCCCGGGCCGUUCCGCCGCCGCUCCGCCCCUGAGCGCCGGGCGCCCAAAGGCUGCCGGAGCGCUCGUGUCGCGGCAGUCCUCGUUGCCGGGGCUGGCGCGGCCCCUUCGGCGGGGGCUGAGCGGCUUUAUCUGCGCGCCUCGGAAGUGGCCACGGGCUCUGGCUGGCUGAAGAGACCACACUUACCAAGAAGAACAGACAUCUCUAUGUAAACAGAGGCUUUGGAGCAAAGAGUUCUGGCUACGUUAGUCUUUGGAAUACCUGAAAAUACACUGGAACAUACAGAAAUGAAGGAACAGACCCUCAAUGAGGAGAAGAGAGGGGAAUCCCCUCGUACUGUUUCAGCCUAUUGGAUGUGCUGCUGUGCAUCGUUCAGGUUUGUGAACCAAGUUAGAGAGAGAGAGAGAAGAAAAAGGAGAAAAAAAAAGAAAAAAAGAAACACCUUUCUGACCCAAUAUUGAAGAGCAUGGUGGAUGUGCUUCUAAGGCUAAGGUAGUGUUGCAGGAAGCAGCUGAGAGCAGUCAAUAGCCCAGUGUUCCAGUCAUGCCAAGACAGGAAGAGGAGGACUAGCUACUGAGAUUCCUUAGAGAGUGGAGAAAGAGGAAGAGAAUCCUGAUGGGAGGAGUAGUGCAACCCCAAGAUGAUUAUAUGGGUACUAU